CCAGGCGGGCCGGCCGAGGAACUGCUGCAGGCUCCGUGUCUGACUGUCCAGAGCCCAGCCUGUCUCCCUGCUGUGCCAAAACGGAGAGGCCAGAUGCCCUUUCUUCUCCAGGAGGAAGGACGGUGCAGCAUAAAUCACCCUGCCACUGCAAGACCAAGACUGGAAUCCAGCCAUUAAAAUGACGACUGCCCCUUCAGGCAUUACCAGGCCCACAUCCCCACACCCGAGCGUGCAUGCAAGGACGGGCCGAGGCCAAGUUGGCCACUCCUUUGAGCUCACUGCUCAGGCCGAUUAUGCCGCUGGGGACAAGACUGCGACCGCUGGGCGUGCCCUGCCCUGGCGUCGCUGAAGGCCUGGGUGACCUCAGCACGGAUCCCAGCACUGACUUCCCUGCCAGUGACGGAGUCCGGUUGGGCCAAAGCGACGAGGGAGUGAGAGGCCUGAUGCUAGAGAACUUUGCCGCACUGACUGUUGAUACUCCCUCCUCUUCAGAAAGCUCCUCCGCUGCCAUUCUCUGUUGCUCAGCCAGAAGCUGCUAAAGUUCCCCUGCAGACAGUUCCUCAACACCACCAGUGUCUACCUGCGAACAUAUGGAUGCUGCUACAGUGACAGUGUCAUCCUUUCUUCCAGGGAGAUCUCAGGGCCUUUAGAGAGACAGUGGCCCAGGAUUUCUCAAUUAACAUCACAAAGGAAAAACCCACAU